rnacentral:lncRNA from 1 species
AUGAUUGUGAUUAUCUAACCGUAACCAGUCAUUGGAUAGACGAAGACUGGACAAUGCAAAAACGCAUUAUUGCAUAUAGGAUAAUUAAUUCACGGCAGGGUAGGUUUAUUGCUAACACUGUUUCAAAUGUAUGUAGAUAUUUUUUGUUUUAGUGAUAAAAUAAUGUCAAUUUCUAUGGAUAACGCUUCUAGCAACACUAGUGCA